AUUGAACGCUGGCGGCAUGCCUUACACAUGCAAGUCGAACGGUAACGGGUCCUUCGGGAUGCCGACGAGCGGCGAACGGGUGAGUAAUAUAUCGGAACGUGCCCAGCAGUGGGGGAUAACUGCCCGAAAGAGCCGCUAAUACCGCACACGACCCGAGGGUGAAAGGGGGGGAUCGCAAGACCUCUCGCUAUUGGAGCGGCGGAUCUCGGAUUAGCUAGUUGGUGGGGUAAAGGCCUACCAAGGCAACGAUCUGUAGUUGGUCUGAGAGGACGACCAGCCACACUGGGACUGAGACACGGCCCAGACUCCUACGGGAGGCAGCAGUGGGGAAUUUUGGACAAUGGGCGCAAGCCUGAUCCAGCAAUGCCGCGUGCAGGAAGAAGGCCUUCGGGUUGUAAACUGCUUUUGUCAGGGAAGAAAUCUUCUGGGCUAAUACCCCGGGAGGAUGACGGUACCUGAAGAAUAAGCACCGGCUAACUACGUGCCAGCAGCCGCAGUAA
rnacentral:rRNA from 1 species